rnacentral:rRNA from 1 species
GAUGAACGCUAGCGGCAGGCUUAACACAUGCAAGUCGAGGGGCAGCGCGGGAUAGCAAUAUCCUGGCGGCGACCGGCGGAAGGGUGCGUAACGCGUGAGCGACAUGCCCGUUGCCCGGGGACAACCGGUGGAAACGCCGACUAAUCCCCGAUGGGAUAUUGUGCCGCAUGGCACGAUAUUGAAAGUUACGGCGGCGACGGAUUGGCUCGCGUCCGAUUAGCUUGUUGGCGGGGUAACGGCCCACCAAGGCUGCGAUCGGUAGGGGUUCUGAGAGGAAGGCCCCCCGCAAUGGGACUGAGACACGGCCCAUACUCCUACGGGAGGCAGCAGUGAGGAAUAUUGGUCAAUGGGCGGAAGCCUGAACCAGCCAUGCCGCGUGCGGGAAGGAGGCCCUAUGGGCUGUGAACCGCUUUUGCCUGGGGGCAAUAAGGGCGUCGCGCACGUCCGAUGAGAGUACCAGGCGAAUAAGCAUCGGCUAACUCCGUG